GGUACGACUUCCGGUUCUAACCAUUGCGAGGCGGACCGUAUUUAAUACGUCUUUUCUUCUCCCUCACCAAGUCAUAUGCUUUUCCUGUCCUUCAUUGGAGAGGAAAACGUGUGGCAAUGGUGGGGAAUCAGGGGGGAAAGGAGAGGUAUGGGAUUUAUGUGGACGAUCAACAUCGAGAAGGUCACCCGCAUGCGGUGGCUAACUUAUAUCGAACAUGGUUCUUGCCUUUUACCAGAACCAUCCGGGUGUUGUCUCCAUUUUCUCUAAAACAGGUAGCGCUGUCCUUGGGCUUCGUCCUUGUCCUCCGAACUGGAAACUUCCCUCCUAACUUUUUGGAACCUCUUCUCUUUUUGAACUUAGACUGUUUCUUCACAGAAACCGCUGGGCUAAAACCUUUUUCAAAUUAUAUAUCAACUACGCUCUCUGAUAGCUAAUAUCAGAGAACCACCUCUCUCCU
rnacentral:snRNA from 1 species